rnacentral:rRNA from 1 species
AAGGCUGAUGGCGACCGGCGCACGGGUGAGUAACACGUAUCCAACCUGCCGUCUACUCUUGGCCAGCCUUCUGAAAGGAAGAUUAAUCCAGGAUGGGAUCAUGAGUUCACAUGUCCGCAUGAUUAAAGGUAUUUUCCGGUAGACGAUGGGGAUGCGUUCCAUUAGAUAGUAGGCGGGGUAACGGCCCACCUAGUCAACGAUGGAUAGGGGUUCUGAGAGGAAGGUCCCCCACAUUGGAACUGAGACACGGUCCAAACUCCUACGGGAGGCAGCAGUGAGGAAUAUUGGUCAAUGGGCGAUGGCCUGAACCAGCCAAGUAGCGUGAAGGAUGACUGCCCUAUGGGUUGUAAACUUCUUUUAUAAAGGAAUAAAGUCGGGUAUGCAUACCCGUUUGCAUGUACUUUAUGAAUAAG